CGCAUGGCCUAAUGGAUAAGGUGUCUGACUUCGAAUCAGAAGACUGCGGGUUCGAGUCUCGUUGUG
rnacentral:tRNA from 1 species